UGGGGAAUAUUGCACAAUGGGCGCAAGCCUGAUGCAGCCAUGCCGCGUGUAUGAAGAAGGCCUUCGGGUUGUAAAGUACUUUCAGCGGGGAGGAAGGGAGUAAAGUUAAUACCUUUGCUUAUUGACGUUACCCGCAGAAGAAGCACCGGCUAACUCCGUGCCAGCAGCCGCGGUAAUACGGAGGGUGCAAGCGUUAAUCGGAAUUACUGGGCGUAAAGCGCACGCAGGCGGUUUGUUAAGUCAGAUGUGAAAUCCCCGGGCUCAACCUGGGAACUGCAUCUGAUACUGGCAAGCUUGAGUCUCGUAGAGGGGGGUAGAAUUCCAGGUGUAGCGGUGAAAUGCGUAGAGAUCUGGAGGAAUACCGGUGGCGAAGGCGGCCCCCUGGACGAAGACUGACGCUCAGGUGCGAAAGCGUGGGGAGCAAACAGG
rnacentral:rRNA from 1 species